ensembl:lncRNA
UGUCCCAACUUAGAGGCUCGAAUGAAAGUUGAAUCAUAGUUGCAUUGCUGCACCAGCAGUUGCUGACCUACUGACCAUAUCUGUUCUGCCUCAAGAACUCUCCUCUUGUCAGGAAGCCACACAGCUCCUACGCUGAUGGCUACCGCAGCCUGACCUAUGAAGAUGUGCUCCUCGUCUCCUCUGUAGAUCUGCAGGAAGAGUUUUAUGACUUGACAAAACAGAAUAGAAUUCAGAAGAAGUCAGAGGAAAUGAGAAGAAUCAGGCUGCAGAAGCAAUAUGUGAUGCCACAGCCCCUCCCUGAAUCAAGGACUCAG